CUCUGGAUGUAAAAUACUCCAUUAUAACAUCGUGUAGGACACUGGCAUCAACAGGAUUGCUCAAAUUGCGGCGAUCAUGUUAAUCCUUAAAGUGAGCAACUUUGUAAAAAAAAAAACUUUGCGUGAAAUAGUGUGUUACACCGCCGCCUGUCCGGGUGAAACAUUAAAGAGGCAGGCUUGUUACCUUGUCACUAUAAAUCGCUAUUUCCUCACUAAAUAUAUUUUCAGAGAUUUUCUGUAGACAAGAUGUUAGAAUAAUAAUUUAAUAAAAACCCAAUUCUGACAAAAGUUACAUUUGACUUAUUUAGUUACUUUUCUGAAAAUCUUAUUCCACUGGUAUGCAUCAUAUUAAACAGAAUGCUUUCAAUGUCAGCCAGUAACACAUCAUAUCUUUUUUUUACAGCUCUAACGUUACAGUUUGCUCCACUUUGCUCUGUGGUUUAUAUGUUUUCUUCUUACCAUUGCUUGUAAGCUGGAUUGAGUAAGAUGGAUCAUCUUUAAAGGAACCAGGAGUUAAGGCAGAUGUGGAGGCACACGGGUGACACCAGACACACACCAAGCACAUUGUUCGGACAUUCAAUCAUGACAUGAUCCAUGUGGAUGCUGUCCAUUGAGGAAAGAGUUUGUUCAGCGGUUUCUGGACAGAAUUAAUCCCAAAGAUGGGAAAAAGUGCACAUCCACACAAGGAGCAAGCAAAAAGACAAGGAACUUGGUGCAGAGAAAAGCUGUGGCCAUUAACCCCCAUGUGAACAGCUUCAUGCAGUCCCUGAUAGAGUUUGAAUGUGCGACUUCAAACUAAAGGCCAGUGUCAGUCUGCCACAGUUUAAUGCAUUUAUUUUUAGUGUUCAAUAAAAUUCAAAUAGAAUAUUUAAAACUAUGGGCCAGUGUUCUUUUUACCACAGUUAAAUGUUACCUUUUAGUUGGUGAUGGACUUAAAACUUCAAACUAUGGAACAGUGUUCUUUUUACCACAGUGAAAUGUUACCUUUUAGUCGAUGAUGGACUUUAAACUGAAAACUUCAAACUAUGGACCAGUGUUCUAUUUGCCAGAGUUAAAUAUAUUACAGCAGGGGCCUCCAAACUUGUUUAUACUUUAUAAUAUUUUAUUUUAUUUUACUUGUUUAUUAUUGUUUAUCUUGUUUUAAAUGAUUGUUUCAAUUACAUGUUUUUUUAAUAAAAUUUUUGAUAUAAACAUUGCUUGGAUUGCCUUUUAAUUCAUAAUGUCAUGUCAAGGAUAGCAUUUUUUUACUAUAUUAAUAACUAUAGAUUUAAACCUAAAUAUCUAGCUAUAAUACAUUAUUGUAUUAACUGUAAUAAGUAAUAAAUAGUAUUUAUGGGUCAAUAUAGACAUUACAGUAAAUUACUGUAAAAAUAGGCUAUUAUUGUAAAAUUACAGUACAGUACUGCUUUGUAACUAUACGGUACUAGUUUGUGUACUGUAAAACUGGAUUACAGUACAGUACUGUAGAACCAAAAUACAGUAACUUACUGGCAACCGUGCUGCCAGUACCGUACUGUAAAAAUACAGGGAAAUCGU